ACGGGCUGGAUUCAAAUGUGCGAGGCGACCAAGUUUGUUGCCCGUCGCUCGCUGGAGUUCAGUCGUCGGCUAAUUCCUGCUGGCCUCACUAACGUCCAAGCCGAGAGAUUAAGGGGAUCGAGGCGAGGCGGAGCUGACGACCAGGAAGCCCACGAGGCCCACAUGACUCUCCCACAAUGACGGCGGGGUGGGUGUGCCAGUCUGGAUGAACAGGCGGCGGGUUGGAGGGAGGGUGGAGGAAGGGCCUGCGCCACAAAUCCGUUACACUGAACCAAACUCCAACCAUUAGGCAGGUCCCGAAAUCAGAUUACUCAAACUUAAAUCAGACUAAUGAACAUGUAGAUUUUACCAAAUUCCCAUAAACCUUGUGCUAUCCUAGGCUCUUUGACAUUGGGAGUGAGGUCAUCUAGACCCCACUAGACAGUGAGCUGAACUUUUUUCUUCAAUGAUUUGUGAACCUCACUGGUUUCUAUGGAUUACAUGAAAUCCUCUCCACCUUUCUCGUGGUAGGGAGAACAUGUUAGUGGUCAUCUUGACCCCAUAGGAUAUCUGUUUCCAUAGUUUUAUAAUUAAAGAUCUUUGGAGACUUUUAA